rnacentral:rRNA from 1 species
GUGCAGCCAGGCGAGAAUCUUCGGCAUGGGCGAAGCCUGACCGAGCGACGCCGCGUGCCCGAAGGAAGCCUUUCGGGGUGUAAAGGGCUUUUCUUGGGGAUAAAUUCGCUCCUCACUUUCGUUCGGAAUUAUAUUGAGAAACGAGCGGAAGGUGAGGAGCGGAAUGAUAGUACCCCAAGGAAUAAGGGACCUCUAAUCGACGUGCCAGCAGAGGCGGUAAUACGUGAGUCCCAAGCGUUAUCCGGGAUUACUGGGCGUAAAGCGGUGCGUAGGCGGUCCAAUAGUCAUGUGUUAAAUCCUUAAGCUCAACUUAAGGGCUGCAUAUGAUACGUUUGGACUAGACCCAGUCAGAGGCCGGCGGAACUCACGGUGUAGGGGUGAAAUCCGUU